GAGCUCGAUUCAACUAUAUCGUGCUCGAUUAAAAAGACGAGCUCGACGAACUCAAUCUGCUCUUAUCGACCUCAGUUAUUUUUAUCGAGCUCGGUUUGCCACGUAUUCUAUCGAGCACGGUUUGCCUCGCAUUCUAUAGGUAAUCUGGUACCAAGACUUGGGAGGGAGCAUGGGACGAGCGAGAGUGGCCAUGUUUCUGGCAAAUUUGUCGAGUUUAGUUCGUGAAUUCGGGACUUUUUAGGAGUAUGUUUUCGGUCGAAUUCGAAAGAAAUUAAGAAGAGUGACAGAAGAAGAGCAAAGAAUGAUUUAUACUGCUAAGGAGAUGAAGGAAAUGACACUAAGGUUAAUGAAAAUCAAGGUUUUCUUACCUACUACAGUUGCAGUAAGGUUGUUGUUGUUGUUGGCAGGAAAAUUCCCAAAGAAGGACACCUGCAAGUAAAACAAGGGAAGGGAAGUGUGCUGCUCAAAGGAAUCCUGCGUAACUAUCAUAAUUAAAAUACACAUUGUUCCUUUGAGCAU